CUGCCCUCGAGCGCGUCCAGCCUUUCGGGGCUGCGACCGCCCGGCGUUGGGGCGCUACGGGGAGCCUUCUGGCUAUCCCCCGUAGGCCCCGAAAUGAAGUGGCGGUCCUGCCGCGGCGCCCCCUGCGUAGUAUUACAGCUCGCAUCGGGUCCCGGUGGAGGCCAGCCGUCAAACCUUACUUUCUAA
rnacentral:misc_RNA from 1 species